GACGAACGCUGGCGGCGUGCUUAACACAUGCAAGUCGAACGGAAAGGCCCUGCUUUUGUGGCGUGCUCGAGUGGCGAACGGGUGAGUAACACGUGAGUAACCUGCCCUUGACUUUGGGAUAACUUCAGGAAACUGGGGCUAAUACCGGAUAGGAGCUCCUGCUGCAUGGUGGGGGUUGGAAAGUUUCGGCGGUUGGGGAUGGACUCGCGGCUUAUCAGCUUGUUGGUGGGGUAGUGGCUUACCCAGGCUUUGACGGGUAGCCGGCCUGAGAGGGUGACCGGCCACAGUGGGACUGAGAUACGGCCCAGACUCCUACGGGAGGCAGCAGUGGGGAAUAUUGCACAAUGGGCGGAAGCCUGAUGCAGCAACGCCGCGUGCGGGAUGACGGCUUUCGGGUUGUAAACCGCUUUCGCCUGUGACGAAGCGUGAGUGACGGUAAUGGGUAAAGAAGCACCGGCUAACUACGUG
rnacentral:rRNA from 1 species